rnacentral:rRNA from 1 species
AGAGUUUGAUCAUGGCUCAGGAUGAACGCUGGCGGCGUGCCUAACACAUGCAAGUCGAGCGAUUUACUUCGGUAAAGAGCGGCGGACGGGUGAGUAACGCGUGGGUAACCUGCCCUGUACACACGGAUAACAUACCGAGAGGUAUGCUAAUACGAGAUAAUAUACUUUUAUCGCAUGGUAGAAGUAUCAAAGCUUUUGCGGUACAGGAUGGACCCGCGUCUGAUUAGCUAGUUGGUAAGGUAACGGCUUACCAAGGCGACGAUCAGUAGCCGACCUGAGAGGGUGAUCGGCCACAUUGGAACUGAGACACGGUCCAAACUCCUACGGGAGGCAGCAGUGGGGAAUAUUGCACAAUGGGCGAAAGCCUGAUGCAGCAACGCCGCGUGAGCGAUGAAGGCCUUCGGGUCGUAAAGCUCUGUCCUCAAGGAAGAUAAUGACGGUACUUGAGGAGGAAGCCCCGGCUAACUACGUG